UAAUUUCUAAUCAAAUUUUUAAUUACAUCCAAACACUAUCCCAAAGCACCAAGGAAAAAUCAUAACGUUUUAAAUGAACAAAAACCAUAAUUUUUAUAGAACAUGAACAAAAAAAAAUAUGAACUCGAAUCAAAGAAAAUGGAGCCUCAGAUUAGCAUAUAGGCACAUUCUUCAUAGCAACAACAACCCAUGUCAUAACACGGUGCGCAGAAUAUUGUUGCAGCUCAUGCCACUAUUACUUUCAUCAUCAGCUCCUAAAUAUAUAGAAAAACACACAUGCAAAAGGAUUAGUUGGAAUAUUGCUUCCAAUUUCAUAACCAAAUUCAAUCAAAAACUCAAAUUUUCAUGGGAAACACAUAUAAAAGCAUUAAAUUCAGAUAAAAAAUGAACCUUGUAAGUGAAUUGAAAGAGAUGAAUAGUGGAGAACCAGAUUUAGGGUUUGAUGAAG
rnacentral:lncRNA from 1 species